GCUCAACCGGGGAAGUGCUUCGGAAACUGGUAGACUUGAGUGCAGAAGAGGAAAGUGGAACUCCAUGUGUAGCGGUGGAAUGCGUAGAUAUAUGGAAGAACACCAGUGGCGAAGGCGGCUUUCUGGUCUGUAACUGACGCUGAGAUUCGAAAGCAUGGGUAGCAAACAGGAUUAGAUACCCUGGUAGUCCAUGCCGUAAACGAUGAGUGCUAAGUGUUGGAGGGUUUCCGCCCUUCAGUGCUGCAGCUAACGCAUUAAGCACUCCGCCUGGGGAGUACGAUCGCAAGAUUGAAACUCAAAGGAAUUGACGGGGGCCCGCACAAGCGGUGGAGCAUGUGGUUUAAUUUUAAGCAACGCGAAAACCUUACCAGGUCUUGACAUACCAUGAAAAGCUAAGAGAUUAGUCUUUCCCUUCGGGGACAUGGAUACAGGUGGUGCAUGGUUGUCGUCAGCUCGUGUCGUGAGAUGUUGGGUUAAGUCCCGCAACGAGCGCAACCCUUAUUAUCAGUUGCCAGCAUUCAGUUGGGCACUCUGGUGAGACUGCCGGUGAUAAACCGGAGGAAGGUGGGGACGACGUCCAAUCAUCAUGCCCCUUAUGACCUGGGCUACACACGUGCUACAAUGGUCGGUACAACG
rnacentral:rRNA from 1 species